CUCUGGGUCACAUGAUGCACUUCAAGGACUCCUGAUUGGCUCUUGGCAGUUUCCAUGGAUACAGGUUUUGGUGCACCUUCCUGGGAAAAUGUAAACAGUGAGUAGACACAGGAGGAUUGGCAGAAACUGUUUUCUAAUCCCAUCCUUCAUUUUAAUGGUGGUGUUAUGGAAAGAGAAUCUGUGGAAGAGAGGUUAACACACUCUUUACAUGCUGCUUCAGCUCUUUUUUCAUUAUUUAAUCAUCCUGAAAUCAAAAAUGUUUAAUGAACAUGUUCAUGAGCUGUACCAAAGCCAUUUUCAGGAUCACAAACAUCAGUACCGGGGAUUUUUAUCCCUGUACAUUUGUGAAAAUCAAGAGCAGAUUGAUUCUCUGUUUGACUGUAUCCUAUGGAAUCCAUUUCCACCACAGAAUUAAGAAAGAAAAAAAAAAGAGUCAUUCAACAGAACAGCAACACUUCCUGUUCCUCAGAGGAUUAAAUCUGGAUCUUGUGAUGUGCAACAUUUCUGAUGUAUAUUCAUUCAACCAUGAGAUCCCAUGCUAAAGCUAAUUCUGUUGUUUUCUGUUUGUUAUAGUUAAUGUUAUCAUGAAAUCUGUAGCCUGGAAGCCCAUUUUUGGGAAUUCAGAUUAUCAACCGGAAGACGUUAAGCAUUACCAUGCGACACAGAUUAAAGGUCAGUGAUGCGUGAAGGGCGAGGAGAGGAGAGUGGACACAGACUGAAAGGAAGGACAGGACACUGGUGUGUGUGUGUGUGUGUGUGUGUAUGUGUGCGUGUGUGUGGCUCUCUCUCAUUACUGUCAUUAGGAAGAGCUGUGUCGUCUUAAGCGGUCCGCUGAGCUCCUGUUGAGUGAGGGAGACCCAUUUAUAACUCAUUAUGAUAAAGUGCUAAAAAUAUCUGAGCUGGGAGCUCGGCUCUCUCAUAUUCUCAUUUCCUCUCUUAAUACUUUUGUAAUAUAGCUGAAUAUGACUAGCUCUUAAACAGACACCAUAGAAACAUGGCACAAUUUCCAUACUUAAAAGUGAGUAAAUUAUUCCUAAAAAGUAUUCUGACACCUAAAUGUCUUAAUGUCAAAUUUAAAUCAACGCAAAUAGCAUCUGCAAAACAAAGUGUUUUCUCAGAACUGACCUCAUUCAGGAUCAUACAUCUUUGUGAAAGCUUUGACAUUUAAAAAAUAAAAAA
ensembl:lncRNA